rnacentral:rRNA from 1 species
UCCGUAGGUGAACCUGCGGAAGGAUCAUUGUCGAAACCUGCGCAGCAGAACGACCCGCGAACGCGUUGUACACAACACCGGGGGCGGCGCGGGCGCAUCCUCGCGUCUCGCCGCCCUCAGCGCCUCGGGGCGAUCGGUCCGGCCGUCCCUUCGCCCGUCGGGCGGGGGAGACGCAGGGUCCGACCUAUCCGGGGCGAAACGAACAAACCCCGGCGCGAAUCGCGCCAAGGAAUCGAAACGAAAAGGGGGGCGCUUCUCCGGGCCACGCGCCGUUCGCGGUGCCGGAGCUCCGGGGGCGUCGUCCUCCCGUCGCGAAACGUACAGAACGACUCUCGGCAACGGAUAUCUCGGCUCUCGCAUCGAUGAAGAACGUAGCGAAAUGCGAUACUUGGUGUGAAUUGCAGAAUCCCGUGAACCAUCGAGUCUUUGAACGCAAGUUGCGCCCCAAGCCAUUAGGCCGAGGGCACGUCUGCCUGGGUGUCACGCAUCGUCGCCCCCCAACCUCGGUUGGACCGCGGGCGGAAAUUGGCCUCCCGUGCGCUCAUCGCCGGCGGUUGGCCUAAACACGAGUCCUCGGCGACGGCAUCGUCACGACGAUCGGUGGUGACGCCAUCGGCUGCCUCUUUCGGAGUCGUGCACGUUCGUCGAUCGAGACCCCGGACCCUUUCGGCACCGCGAGGGCGGUGCUCGCAUCGCGACCCCAGGUCAGGCGGGAACACCCGCUGAGUUUA